rnacentral:rRNA from 1 species
GUUUCUGUAGGUGACCUACGGAAGGAUCAUUAUCGAGACCGAAAUAUGUGUCGAGCGAUCCGGAGAACCCGUGAGACGAGCGACAGCCGCUCGAGCCAUCGCCCCGUCCUCCCAAGGGGGAGGCGGAGCACGGCGGAGUGCGGGGGAAACCCUAACCGGCGCAGCAUCGUGCCAAGUAAAACAUCGAAGGGCACGAGCGUGCUCGGUGGCGUUGAGCACUAUCGCGCGCCACGCGGAUGGACACGACUCUUGAUAAUGGAUAUCUCGGGUCUCGCAUCGAUGAAGAGCACAGUGAAAUGCGAUAAGUGGUGCGAAUUACAGAAUCUCACGAACCAUCGAGUCUUUGAACGCAAGUUACGCCCGAGGCUAGCUGGCCGAGGGCAUGUCUGCCUGGGCGUAAAGCGUUGCGUCGCUCCGUGCCAUCUCCACGCUCCCCAGUGGGUGCGUCGGCCGAAGCUCGGAUGCACAGAGUGGCCCGUCGCGCCCGUCGGUGCGGCGGGUUGAUGGGCGGGUCAUGUCUCGCCGGUCGUGGACAACGAGGGGUGGGCUAAAUUCGCGGGCGCGGCGGCCUGCGUUGUCUCAUGCCGGCCCGGGAGAUGGACCGUGCCCUCGAGGUGAUCCCGGCCUAUGCACUGAACCGAGUCAAUGUGGCGGCAUGGAAUGUGACCCCAGGACGGG